rnacentral:lncRNA from 1 species
AAACUCCUUCAGUACUCCCUAAGACAACCGCUGCGCUCUCGCGGAGGCGAAACAGGCUUCGCCCCGGCGCGUGCUUUCUCCGGCGACUCCUCUCCUCCUGACAGCCUCACUGCCGUCGGUGAGUAGGGGAGUCGCCGGAUCUCGCGUUCGGACCUUGUAUAGCAGUAGGUUUAGGGCCUAAUAGAUUUGGUUUUCGUCCGUCCGGCAGUGGUUUCUUCGGAGACAACGACGGCGCCGGCGAAUAACGUUGUUGUGGAGCCUGGGAGGUGGUCAGGGUGUUGGUGCCGACGGGUUGCGUCGGCGGUUUGCUGGAAGGCAGCAGCAGGUUCUGUACUGAUAUCGUGGUGAGAGGCAGGCGGAUCUGGCCUUUUUCCUCGACGAUGUCGUUGGGAUGGGCAAGAUCUGGAUUUCGACGCCGACGAGCCACAAUGGUAUUGGUUUUGCCUAAGGCGAGCUUCUUGUGAGGUUCAUAAAGCUAUUGCAGCGAUGGAGCCGCGUCGAACUCGGGUUUGCUGGUCUCCGUCCCUUUUCUCUCAGGUGGUCGCUGUGGCGGUGCCGGAGAUGGGCGUCAGGAGUUGGUUCUGGCACAAAUAUACCUUCUAUUUUUUCUUUGUUCCGGAGUCGCUUGUGCUUUUGUUUGGGACCUGGUGUCUUCCAGUUUUCUCUCUGUUG